rnacentral:piRNA from 1 species
UUAAUCUGCCUUAUGUAGUCCCAACACUUCU